rnacentral:rRNA from 1 species
UACGUAGGGUGCGAGCGUUGUCCGGAAUUACUGGGCGUAAAGAGUUCGUAGGCGGUUUGUCGCGUCGUUUGUGAAAACCCGGGGCUCAACUUCGGGCUUGCAGGCGAUACGGGCAGACUUGAGUGUUUCAGGGGAGACUGGAAUUCCUGGUGUAGCGGUGAAAUGCGCAGAUAUCAGGAGGAACACCGGUGGCGAAGGCGGGUCUCUGGGCAGUAACUGACGCUGAGGAGCGAAAGCGUGGGGAGCGAACAGG